rnacentral:rRNA from 1 species
UACGUAGGGUGCAAGCGUUGUCCGGAAUUAUUGGGCGUAAAGGGCUCGUAGGCGGUCUGUCGCGUCGGUAGUGAAAACUCAGGGCUUAACCCUGAGCCUGCUUCCCGAUACGGGCAGACUAGAGGUAUGCAGGGGAGAAUGGAAUUCCUGGUGUAGCGGUGAAAUGCGCAGAUAUCAGGAAGAACACCCGUGGCGAAGGCGGCUCUCUGGGACGGUACUGACGCUGAGACGCGAAAGCGUGGGAGCGAACAGG